rnacentral:rRNA from 1 species
GACGUAGGGCGCGAGCGUUGUCCGGAUUUAUUGGGCGUAAAAAGCUCGUAGGCGGCUUGUCGCGUCGUCCGUGAAAACCUGCAGCUCAACUGCAGGCUUGCGGUCGAUACGGGCAGGCUGGAGUUCGGUAGGGGAGACUGGAAUUCCUGGUGUAGCGGUGAAAUGCGCAGAUAUCAGGAGGAACACCGGUGGCGAAGGCGGAUCUCUGGGCCGAUACUGACGCUGAGGAGCGAAAGCGUGGGGAGCGAACAGG